AAAAAGACCGGCCGGAGGGUGGAAGGAGGCCGGAAGGGGCGGGAGGGGAAUGCUCGCGCCUCGGCCUCGCAGUUAGUCAGCGGUAGUGAGACAGAGAAGAGGUGUGCUUGGUGGUGUCUCAAGGGUGCAGGUUAGGUGGAGUUUCAGGCCUCGGCUGCAGAACAGGAUGCUGCUGCUUCUGCAGUACAUUCUGAGACGCCUGCCUUCGGUUCCAUGUCGAAAAUUAACUUGGCUGCUCCAAAUUGUCUUCCUGACUGAAGACCCUGAAAAGAUUAAAGCUACACUUUCUCAGUGAACACAGACAAAAGUGCCACUUCAUUCUGUUUGACCAAAAUGUAGCAGCAUUGAUCAUCUGUGGAAUAUGAGAAAAAAAGUAUGGUACAGUACUGUAUCCACUCCAGCUGGUAGUAUUGUCUUCACAAAUGAAGCUCUUUCAUUAGGCACACUGACAGCAGGAAGGUGUGAGCAGUCUAAAGGAAAACAACAAAGUGAAAGUUCUUAUUUCAGCACAGACCUAUAUGAACAUGGAGUGACAUGACACGAAGGUGAAUGCAAUGGAUGCAUAUGAAAAUUGUGGAGUGGGCACCUGUGCAAAUGGUGUAGAGGAAUGAAAUUGAUGGAAAACACUGAAGGGGUUUUAGUUUGAAGAUUAUCUGAGUGCAAAGCAAAGGGAAGGUUGUAUGAAAUGUGAUAAUGGUGUAAAAGAGUGCAUCAGAGGUGGGGUUUCGAGGAAUGGAGGCUCUGUCUGAAACUGCUGCCACUGUAUUGAGGAUGAUAAUGCUGCCAGGAGUGAUUGACUGGUCAGUAGUGUUAGGUGCCACGGAAGGAAUUAAAACCUCUACAGAGAAAGCAAGUAAAUUUAUUCUAGAUAAGAAAGUAAGGAUCACUACAGGGUUGUCCCACAAGUUAAGGUAUAUGCUCUGUGUAGCACCACUCAAGUAUGUAUUGAGCCCAGGAGGAAGGGAAGGAGGAGGAGGCCCAUCCAAUCAAGUGGCUCCUGCAACAAUAAAGCAAACCACUGCAUAUGUGUAAAAUAGAAUAUUUUCAACUUAGUUACUCAAACUAUCAUAUCUCAAAGUAUGUAGCUCAACUCACAGGACACCCUAUAUAAUUAAGUAAUCUAUGAAGGGUUUUGCUAAUACUGUUAAUAGCUUGAGUAGCACCUUUUUCCAGAUAGACAUCUGAAGAAGCAGCCUAUGGCUCAUUAUUUUAAUUUGUAUUCAAAAUUGUAUAAAGUGAUAUGGGCACAUUUGGUAUUCAUGCAACAUUUCUUGUAUGAAGACAGCUUGUUGGAAACUCAAAUAUGUAUUAAUGAUACACAUUGUAUGAGGUGUAAUGUAAGUUCAGCUACAAAACUUGGUGAUAAUUCAAGCAAGUCAAUCUAAAAAAUUGUUUGGUCUACACAUCAGUUUUCAAGAAAUUGAGGUUAGGGGUACAUAAUUCAAGAUAUGGUAAUGCAAGUCAUUCUACAUAAAACUUAAUCCAUAUUUGUGUUCACUGCCCCUGCCUGUCAUGUAUGGCACCACUGACAGCAGCAUGUUCCUGUUCCAUUCCCAAGAGCCAGUAACUGCUAUGGUCACAGAUUUCUGUAAAGAUUUUGUUGGCUAAGAUUGUGAAAAUGUUCACACACCAACUUCAAGAAAGUAACUGACAUGCAUAUAUAUCACUGCUGCCUUGCACUGCAAGCACAUGGUUAACAUUUCUUUCUGAAACAUUUUAUGGAGAAUGACGAAUUAACCAUAUCUUGAACUAUGUAGAAUGACUUGAAUUAACCAUAUCUUGAACUAUGUAUGUAUGUACAGCUGGCUACAUCCCAGUGAGGUCCACCCAACAUGGUCAAGGUUGGCAAUAUUGUAACAAGAAACAUUGCAAGUAACUUCACUUGCCUGUAAGCAUUCAUUAAUGAUGGGAGGGAGAGGUAAGGAGGGGAAGGGCCUCCUACCCUCAUCAGAGCCCUCUUAGCUACUGCAAACCAUCCCCCUCCAUAACUCUCCCUACCACCAAUGAAUGGUUACAAUCUCACCAGCCUUGAUCAAGAACACUAGGUUGACCUUGCAGGAGUGUGGCCAGCUGUGACCUGUAGGUGGAAUCGUCUAUAUACUAUAAAUAAACCCACUGAGGAAAUCCA